rnacentral:rRNA from 1 species
CUGUUGGGACCGCCUCUGCUAAAGAGGAGGAAGGAAUGGGCAACGGUAGGUCAGCAUGCCCCGAAUUAUCCGGGCUACACGCGGGCUACAAUGGUCAGGACAAUGGGUAUCGACACCGAGAGGUGGAGGCAAUCUCCUAAACCUGUCCUUAGUUCGGAUUGUGGGCUGCAACUCGCCCACAUGAAGCUGGAAUCCGUAGUAAUCGCGUUUCAAAAUAGCGCGGUGAAUAUGUCCCUGCUCCUU